GAUGAGGUACAUGGGGCUGUGGAAGCUGUAAGAGCUCUCUAACAUCUGAAGUUUCUGUCAGUGGGGGAGGAGCCUGGGGGUGACUGGUUUUGACUCCAGUAGCUGAAAAAGACUUUCAGGGUGGAAGCUACAAGGUUUUGUGGCUUGGUGCCUGUCAGAGAGAUACUUGUCUCAGAGCAACAAUAAACUAGAUCUAAUCUUUAAAUGAUCACAAGGGCUAAUGGCGAAAGUUAGCCCUGUUUCUGUGAGCGGCAAGCCGAGAAUCACACCGGCUUCUCUGUCGUUUGCUUCUUCCCUUCCUGAAACGCUUAUGUUAUUUGGUUCCCAACAAGAACAGGAAAUACAGUGAUCUCACCAAGCUGUUUGCUGUGUACUUAUACAGAGUCCCCAAUAAGGUUUCCUGAAGUCUCACAAGAGUUCUACCAUAGGUGGGCUCGAAACAGGCACUGGCUCCCACCUAUGAUGGGGGGGCCACUGGCAGGCUUUAGGGGAGCAGAUCUGUGCUUCUGCAAAGCAGAUGGAGUCGUCAUCUGACUCUUCCCACUGUCUUCAUCGUCUUCAUCGAGGCUCCAUAAAGCUCUUUGCUGUUGUUCCUAGGCUAGUCCAUCCCCUCUCCCAGAGCUAACAGUGCUAAGGAGCCAAUCAAAUCUAAAGUUACUUUGGUAGUAAAAGCCUCAUUAGCAACAUAGGGCAUGUGUUUACCCACCCUAUAGAAAAGUCUCUUCUGGUUCUUUCCCAACUCCAUUUGAAAAGUCCCUAAAGCCAGCAUUUUGCUGAAAAGGGCGGGUAAAGGCACACAUUAUAGUCUUAAGACUUCCAUAGGGGCUCCCACGACCUUAGAAAGUAGCAUUUUGAGAGAUUUCCCCUCUUGCCUGCUGUGUCAGCACUUUUGGUAGGAAAUGUAGGCAAGGAGGAGGCAGGCUUGGGGAGAGCCAUGGACCACCUAUCUCUUCCUACUAGACUCUGGUAGCUCUUACGGAACACAUGGGGGAAGAAAGGCUUUCUUUGUGAAGAGGAGACCAGGAUUUAGAUGGACCAGCCACAAAUAAACCCCUAAAACCAAAAAACAAGCUACACUCAUGGCCAGCCCUCCACCGAAAGGGGUACCGCUGGAUUCAGAGUACCUCUUUCCUCAUCGGGCUGGCUCAUCCCUGGGUGUCGGGAGGAACAAGACUGGCAGUUAAGUGUUUGACUACAAGAAGAUCAGUGAACCACUGGGAGAGUUGAGCAGACCACACCCAUCUUGGUGACAUCAAACGCUGCAUGUUCACGUGAAUAUAAGUAAGCCUGGCUCCCCCACUCUCUCUCUCUCUCUCUCUCUCUCUCUCUCUCUCUCUCUCUCUCUCUCUCUCUCUCUCUCUCUCUCUCUCUCUCUUUGGCUUUUAUCCACUCAGGGAUUAAUCCAGCCUGGACAUGUUUAACUCACUUUUGGGGGGGUGCUUUUCUGUUUGUUGAGACAAAGUCUUGCUCUGUAUCCGGGGCUGGCCUCUCUAGCACUGGGAUGACAGGUGUGUGCCAUCACACCUGGCUGUCACUGAAAUCUUCUACUGAAACAGGUAUGAGGCAAGGGUAAGCAGCUCUGACAUGAUGGGCCCUGGACACCUCAAGAGUCUCCAAACAAAUGGGGACUCAAUGCUUCCCAACCCGAAACAGUUUCUAAAUCAAGAACAAAUGCAGCAUGGGGGGGGGUGGACGGACCGGGGGGGGAGGGCAGGGCUGGGCCUGUUUUCCCGGCCCCAUUCCAUUUAUAUGCCUCUUUCUAAAUCACAAGGGCACAGACAACCCCCUCCCCAGAAACCCCUGCUCACCCCCCGGAAGCUGUUCCUAAGGUAAACACGUGUUCAUGUUCUUAACCAGCGAGUCAGCUCACUUGCUCCAUCAGAAAAUAUCCAAACCCAGCACACUCGUGACUCAAUCUGAAGGUUAUUUUUUGUUUGCUUUAAGGAUCUUUAUUUAAGUGCCUACGGUGUUGAAGUUCCAUCAAGGAUUUGGAAGGUCACUGUCCCACCACUCCUGCCAGUCAGUGAUGAGUGGCUGGCAGCCGGAUCCGUGGUGUUCAUACAUAAGGCAGGAGAAUAGAGAAUCCAGCUUUUCCAGAUGGUUCAGCUGCAGUUCUGGGACCCUCGAGUCCCGGCUCCAAGGCUGAGAGGAUGUACAGCUUCGAGGUGGCCAGCUUCCUAGAGUCACCACUGUGCUUCAGUCCAUGGUGAGAGGACAGUCACCGGCUCCAGUUCACAACCCGCCCCUCUGGCUAAUGGCAGAAGGAUGAGAGAAGCCAGCCGAAAAGGUGAAAUUAAUGGAUCCCAGGAGCACAGCACACCUCAGAUGCUGGCUUAGGGCUGAAAGAACCAGUGUCAAGUCAGGCUCCUGAGCCAGGGUGGAUCUUCCCACCUACCGCCAUCACCACAACCCCAGUCAGAACUGGAGAACCUGACAGUGGUGGAGCUGGCCAAGGUGAGAGACGGUGCCCAGACCUUGACAGCCCAGGCUGCAGCUGACCAGCUUCCCCACAGGACGCUGACAAGCCAGCGAAGUUUUACCUGAAAGAGAAGGAAGGAGGAGAAUCAUCACUUCUGCCAGAGCACUGAAGCCACCCCUUAGGCCGGCCACACUGUCACUCUGUCCCCUUCCCCACUCCUGCUGUGUGAGCAGUCUUGUUCAUCACCAUUGUGGUCUCUACAGUCCUGAAGAAGGGACUUUCUUCAAUCAUGGAGCUUUUGAAAACCGAGCUGUCUGCAAGGCACAUUCCAUUCUUCGUGUAACUGUCCUUUGGCUCACACACAAGGCUUCCAGGAUCCCUCCCUCUCACACACAGCCCCCGCCUCUCUUAGAACACAUGCUCUUUUUCCCUCAAGUCCCUCUUUCCUAGUCCUCCUACAAGUUUUCAGGCCAAAGCAUCCAAAGGUAACUAUUUUAAAACCUUGUAGAGCCUGCAGUCUCUGUGUCAACUAUGAACCCUGUUGUCAUGACAAAAAAAAAAAAAAAAGCCAGACACAGCACAGAACGUCUGAGGAUGGCUGUGUUCAAACUUGAUGAUCUGUCAUCAACUUUUAUGCAUCCUGAAAUAUCCUUUUGGUUCUCUUUUCAAACAUUAAAAUGCAGAAAUCAGGGUUAGGCGUGCUGGCACAGACCUACAAUCCCAGCAGUUGGGAGGGGAAGGCAAGAAGACUGAGUGUGAGUGAAGCCCGGGUUGAGCAGGUGAGACUGGGGCGCACAUAAACCAAAGGUAGGGCUUGCACUCGGCUCUCAAGCUACUUUUACAGUCUGGGAGCCACAGUGUCUCCCCUUCCGCCCACUGAAUUAGCAGGAUAGGCGCUGUUGUGAGGUGAGGCCUGGUGGAAGACCUCCAGGUCAAGAGUGGGAAUUAUAGGACUCCAAUCUCCCCCUCCCUUUUGUUCCCUGGCUCAGAGGCUUUGUUCUACCACACCUGCUGAGAUGGGUUGCCUUACCAUAGCAGGGCAAACCAACCAGCGACUGAAACCUCUGAUCCUGUG
rnacentral:lncRNA from 1 species